rnacentral:lncRNA from 1 species
AGAGGCCAAACAUUUCACUUAUGUCCUAAACCUGGCAUGUUUUCAAGGAAAAUCAAGUGAUAUGCUAAUAAAAUGUUAUUCUAUAAAACAUAUCAUUACAUGUGUCAAUAUCCUAACGUUGCUUAAAAACGAUGUUCAAAAUUUUAUUCCAAGCGUGGUCAAAAGUGAAUUUGAUUUCAUAUAUGCUCAAUAUACUGGAUAGCCAUAAACCAGGUCCAACCCACCAUUUGUCUAAUGUCCUUUACCAAGUCAGGAAUAUGGCAGUUGUUAUCUAAUAGUUCGUUUCUAUGUAUGUUGCAUUUCCGUUUUUUGUAGCAGUUGAGAGUUUCUGUUCUUUUGUUUUCCUCUAAUAGUUGAGUGUUUCCCGUUUUACUCUUAAAUCCGUAUUUGUUUUUUUUCUCAAUCGAUUUAUGACUUUUGAACAGCAGUUUACUACUGUUGUCUUAAUAUUUUAUUCGACAGUUCAAUAAGCAUCUACAGGAAUACAUUGAUUUAAAGGCUGUUUAAUAAUACACCACAUGGAAUGUAAAACAUGAAUCAAUAUUUGUAUUAGGAGUAAGAUAAAGUAAAGGUACAUUGGAAGUAUGGCCUUUAGGAAAGCUAAAUUGUUAAAAAAAAGUUUACUUUAUAAAGAAAAUAACAUUGAGAAAUAAGGAAUAAAUUUCUUUACAAACUGAAAUGUGAAAUCAACAGGACAUUACUACUUCAGGCGUUAUUCACAUAACUGUCAUAGAAGUGAAAGGUUUCGCUGGCUAUAAAACGAAGUAUAAUCCACCAGCAAAGGAAAAUUCCUGUAUCAAGUUAAGAAUAUGUACCUUCGUUUGAGUUUGGAUUUUACAAUUUGUUAAGGGGCUUUUCCUUUGAAUUUUUCUUGGAGUUUUGUAUUUUUGUGAUUAUACUUUUUACAUCCUUUAAUUUUGCACGCGUUCUAGUUUCUGUUUUGACUUUAGAACUAACUUAACAAAAGCAAUUCAUAUGCCAACUAGUUUAAAAUUUCUUCAUUCUUGUAAUUUAAAUCAAAAAGUUGUUUUAAAAACAUAAGCAACUUGCGUCAGUGGAAAUUAAAAUUAUCAAGUGAAAUACCAUGAACUAUGAUAUGAGUCAUGAGAUCAGAGAAAUUGUAUUUUUGAAUAAAAAACAACAUUGUAAUACUAUAAUUUUUUAAACAUCAAACGCAUAUAUUGUUACUGUGGAUUCAUUAUUAUUUGUUGGAUACCAAUUAUCAUGGAUUGUGUGGGUACAAGGUAACCACGAAUU